rnacentral:rRNA from 1 species
GAUGAACGCUGGCGGCGUGCUUAACACAUGCAAGUCGAACGGGGUACCCAUGACGGAGGCUUCGGCCAACUGAAUGGAAUACCUAGUGGCGGACGGGUGAGUAACGCGUGAGGAACCUGCCUUGGAGUGGGGAAUAACAGCCAGAAAUGGCUGCUAAUACCGCAUGAUGCAGUUGGGUCGCAUGGCUCUGACUGCCAAAGAUUUAUCGCUCUGAGAUGGCCUCGCGUCUGAUUAGUUUGUUGGCGGGGUAACGGCCCACCAAGACGACGAUCAGUAGCCGGACUGAGAGGUUGGCCGGCCACAUUGGGACUGAGACACGGCCCAGACUCCUACGGGAGGCAGCAGUGGGGAAUAUUGGGCAAUGGGCGCAAGCCUGACCCAGCAACGCCGCGUGAAGGAAGAAGGCCCUCGGGUUGUAAACUUCUUUUAUCAGGGACGAAUAAAGUGACGGUACCUGAUGAAUAAGCCACGGCUAACUACGUGCCAGCAGCCGCGGUAAUACGUAGGUGGCAAGCGUUAUC